GACGAACGCUGGCGGCGUGCUUAACACAUGCAAGUCGAACGGAAAGGCCCCUUUUGGGGUACUCGAGUGGCGAACGGGUGAGUAACACGUUAGUAACCUGCCCUUGACUUCUGGAUAACUUCAGUAAACUGGGUCUAAUACCGGAUAGGAAUCCUUGCUGCAUGGUGGGGGUUGUAAAGCUUCCGCGGUUUUGGUUGUACUGGCGGCUUAUGAGCUUGUUGGUUGGAUAGUUGCUUACCAAGGCUUUUAUGGGUAGCCGGACUGAGGGGGCGACCGGCCACAUUGAGAAUGAGAAACGGCCAAGACUCGUACGGGAGGCAGCAGUGGGGAAAAAUGAAAAAUGGGGGGAAGCCUGAAGCAGCAACGCCGCGUGCGGGAUGACGGCCUUCGGGUUGUAAAAAGCUUUCAGCAGGGGGGAAGCUUGUGGUGACGGUACCUGCAGAAGAAGCACCGGCUAACUACGUG
rnacentral:rRNA from 1 species